rnacentral:lncRNA from 1 species
GGAAAGAACGCCAUUAACAUGAAAGACGUGAAAGACUUAGGGAAGACCAUGAAGGAUCAGGAUGACGAUGCUGAAACCGGACUGACUGAUGGAGAAGAAAAGGAAGAGCCCAAGGAAGAGGAGAAACUGGGAAAGCUCCAAUAUUCACUGGACUAUGACUUCCAGAAUAACCAGCUGUUGGUGGGAAUCAUCCAGGCUGCUGAACUGCCCGCCCUGGACAUGGGGGGUACAUCCGAUCCAUACGUCAAAGUCUUCCUGCUGCCUGACAAAAAGAAGAAAUUUGAGACUAAAGUCCACCGGAAAACCCUCAAUCCAGUCUUCAAUGAACAAUUUACUUUCAAGGUGCCCUACUCGGAAUUAGGUGGCAAAACCCUGGUGAUGGCUGUGUAUGACUUUGAUCGCUUCUCCAAGCAUGACAUCAUCGGAGAGUUCAAAGUUCCUAUGAACACCGUGGAUUUUGGCCAUGUGACCGAGGAGUGGCGUGAUCUCCAGAGCGCUGAGAAAGAAGAGGUAGGGCAUUCAUUAGCAUUUCUAACACAAGCUGUGUUCAUUCACCUGUUGCGGUUCAAAUACUAAGCCAUAGAGAGAUGAUCUUCCUGAAGGGUGACAUGGGCCUUUAAAAACUGACAGCUGCCAAAACAGAGUCAGAGGGAUUGUAUGACCCUGCUAAAAUAUAUUCAGGACUUCUGCAUGGAAUUUAAAAGAAAAUAGAGAGAUAACACACACUGGGAAUAUAAACAACCCCGUCCUUUAGAAGACAGUGAGCAAUUAUCUCGUAUUGUCUGCGUGUAUUUUAGAACUAUCACAGUGUAGUAAGCGGGUGCGUUUCCCUUGAUUAUGUCUGCAUAUCGAGGUUCAUUGUUUCUGAUGCAGACAUCAAAGCAUAAUGGGUAAAAA